UCUUCUUUUUUCUAAAUUAUCUCCGCUCAAUGGAAAUAAUUUGGGAAUUGUUUGAUUCUAACCGCUUAGCAAUGAAACGUUUGCUGUAUGAGCACGUAGCACUAAAAAUGUGUAGGCUAUAUAAAGCAAAUUCAACAAGGUCUAUUUGGAUAAACGCAAACUCGUGGCCAAACGUUUUGGGAAGUCGACUGCCAGGUGAAUUCAGAUGCAUUUUUUAAAAAGAACUUCCGAAUGAAGCGCAAUUAUUUCAUUAAAUUGUGUAUUAUGUUGAAAGGCUUGGAGAAGAAAAACACUAACUACCGGAAAGCAAUUCAAUUAGAGAAACGCGUUGCUAUUGCAUUAUAUGUUCUUAGCUCUUCUGCAGAAUACCUAACAAUUGGAAAUAUGUUCGGAAUUGGUAAAAACACUGUCUGCUCCAUUCUAAUUGAUAUCUGUCAUGUAUUUGAAGAAAUUCCCAAUGAACGAAAUUCAAUUGCGCGACUAAUUAAAUGGUUUUGAGUCAUUGGGUUUCCCUCAAGUGUUAGGAGCUAUAGAUGGUUGUCAUAUAGAAGUUCGCCCAGCUGCAGAAGAUGCUGUUGACUACUACAGUUACAAAGGCUGGUAUUCCAAAGUUCUUUUGGCUUUAGUAGAUGCAAGCCAACACGAAAAUUGUCAUAAAAGCGUGCUGCGUUUUGCACAACUUUUUAAAUGAGGAAAAUGACGAAAUUGUGGAUUGCAGCAUAACAAAUCGAAAACGAAUCUCGGCAGUUGCCAGAAGACGUCUCUAACAUUUGUGGAAAUUUCAAUCCAAGAGCAGAGGAAAUAAGACGAGCGUUCGUUUCGUAUUUCGGUGAGUUAUUACAUUCAAAUUUGAAAUAUUAUUAAAUCUCAACCGAUCCAUAUUUACAUACAUAUCUCAUAAUUCAAUUCCAGUACAAAAAACAGAUAUUUAUAUAUAUUAUGUAUCUAUAUACAGUGACGAGCAAUACUGUAACACCCCACAGUGAUCCAUCCUAAAAUGACGUCGUAAACAAAAAUAAAGAAGGAUUUUAAUGAUUUAUUUUUUGUUUUCAAUUAAUUGUAGCCUUAGCUUUAUUAAAGUAACUAAUCAUGGUAAUUUAAUAACAAUUCAAUAUGUUUAAAAGUAAUAACGUAAAAAAAGCUCAAUGUUACAGUUUUGCAUUCGGUGUAAUGUUAAAAUAUAAUAAUCAAAAAGUUAA